GUCGAGGAUCUUUUGCAAUGGGCGCAAGCCUGACAAAGCGACGCUGCGUGGAGGAUGACGGCCUUCGGGUUGUAAACUCCUGUCAUUCGGGAAAAAUGAUACAUCUCUGAACAGGGGAUGUGUCCUGAUGGUACCGGAAGAGGAAGCCACGGCUAACUCUGUGCCAGCAGCCGCGGUAAUACAGAGGUGGCGAGCGUUGUUCGGAUUUACUGGGCGUAAAGGGCGCGUAGGCGGCUUCGCGUGUCGGGUGUGAAAUCCCACGGCUCAACUGUGGAAUGGCAUCCGAAACUGUGGGGCUAGAGUGCAGGAAGGGAGAGCGGAAUUCUUGGUGUAGCGGUGAAAUGCGUUGAUAUCAAGAAGAACACCGGUGGCGAAGGCGGCUCUCUGGAAUGCAACUGACGCUGAGGCACGAAAGCCGGGGGAGCAAACAGGAUUAGAUACCCGAGUAGUCC
rnacentral:rRNA from 1 species